UUCGCCCUUUUCCGGUUGAUCCUGCCGGAGGUUACUGCUAUCGGUGUUCGACUAAGCCAUGCGAGUCAAAUGUUCUUCGUGAACAUGGCGGACUGCUCAGUAACACGUGGAUAACCUGCCCUUAGGUUCGGCAUAACUCCGGGAAACUGGAGAUAAUUCCGAAUAGGUCAAAUAUGCUGGAAUGCUUUUUGGCCAAAAGACCUCGGUUGCCUAAGGAUGGAUCUGCGGUCUAUCAGGUUGUAGUGGGUGUAACGUACCUACUAGCCUACGACGGAUAUGGGUUGUGAGAGCAAGAGCCCAGAGAUGGAUUCUGAGACAUGAAUCCAGGCCCUACGGGGCGCAGCAGGCGCGAAAACUUUACAAUGCGGGAAACCGCGAUAAGGGGACACCGAGUGCCAGCAUUUAUGUUGGCUGUCCACAUGUGUAAACGGCAUGUGUUAGCAAGGGCCGGGCAAGACCGGUGCCAGCCGCCGCGGUAACACCGGCGGCCCGAGUGGUAAUCACUUUUAUUGGGUCUAAAGGGUCCGUAGCCGGUUUGAUCAGUUCUUCGGGAAAUCUGACAGCUCAACUGUUAGGCUUCCGGGGAAUACUGU
rnacentral:rRNA from 1 species